UGAAGCAGGUGGACUGGCAGUGAGGAGAGUGCUAUCAGGAUCACUCAGGACUACAGAGCUCUUCAAAAAGCCUGUGGGGAGAGUAUGGAUUAUCACUGUUUAUAAAAAUACAGGGAAGACCUUGACCUUGGUGGAUACAGCUCUUGCAAGCCCUUUCAAGGAACACUGGUUGUACUUCGGGCUUGUAAGGAACUCUGAAUUCAACAGUUUUGGUGGCAGCAUAUUCAGGUAUCAGUCACCGUCAUCACUCAGUCCAGUGCUGUGUAUGUGA
rnacentral:lncRNA from 1 species